GACGAACGCUGGCGGCGUGCCUAAUACAUGCAAGUAGAACGCUGAAGGAGGAGCUUGCUUCUCUGGAUGAGUUGCGAACGGGUGAGUAACGCGUAGGUAACCUGCCUGGUAGCGGGGGAUAACUAUUGGAAACGAUAGCUAAUACCGCAUAAGAGUAGAUGUUGCAUGACAUUUGCUUAAAAGGUGCAAUUGCAUCACUACCAGAUGGACCUGCGUUGUAUUAGCUAGUUGGUGGGGUAACGGCUCACCAAGGCGACGAUACAUAGCCGACCUGAGAGGGUGGUCGGCCGCACUGGGACUGAGACACGGCCCAGACUCCUACGGGAGGCAGCAGUAGGGAAUCGUCGGCAAUGGACGGAAGUCUGACCGAGCAACGCCGCGUGAGUGAAGAAGGUUUUCGGAUCGUAAAGCUCUGUUGUAAGAGAAGAACGAGUGUGAGAGUGGAAAGUUCACACUGUGACGGUAUCUUACCAGAAAGGGACGGCUAACUACGUG
rnacentral:rRNA from 1 species